UACGGAGGGGGCUAGCUUUGUUCGGAAUUACUGGGCGUAAAGCGCACGUAGGCGGCUUUGCAAGUUAGAGGUGAAAGCCCGGGGCUCAACUCCGGAAUUGCCUUUAAAACUGCAUCGCUAGAAUUGUGGAGAGGUAAGUGGAAUUCCGAGUGUAGAGGUGAAAUUCGUAGAUAUUCGGAAGAACACCAGUGGCGAAGGCGACUUACUGGACACAUAUUGACGCUGAGGUGCGAAAGCGUGGGGAGCAAACAGG
rnacentral:rRNA from 1 species